AUUGAACGCUGGCGGCAGGCCUAACACAUGCAAGUCGAGCGGAUGAAGGGAGCUUGCCCCUUGAUUCAGCGUCGGACGGGUGAGUAAUGCCUAUGAAUCUGCCUGGUGGUGGGGGAUAACGUCCGGCAACGGGCGCUAAUACCGCAUACGUCCUGAGGGAGUAAGUGGGGGAUCUUCGGACCUCACGCUAUCAGAUGAGCCUAGGUCGGAUUAGCUAGUUGGUGGGGUAAAGGCCUACCAAGGCGACGAUCCGUAACUGGUCUGAGAGGAUGAUCAGUCACACUGGAACUGAGACACGGUCCAGACUCCUACGGGAGGCAGCAGUGGGGAAUAUUGGACAAUGGGCGAAAGCCUGAUCCAGCCAUGCCGCGUGUGUGAAGAAGGUCUUCGGAUUGUAAAGCACUUUAAGUUGGGAGGAAGGGCAGUAAGUUAAUACCUUGCUGGUUUGACGUUACCAACAGAAUAAGCACCGGCUAACUUCGUG
rnacentral:rRNA from 1 species